rnacentral:rRNA from 4 species
UCGACCUCACAUCAGG